rnacentral:rRNA from 1 species
UGGGGAAUUUUGGACAAUGGGCGAAAGCCUGAUCCAGCAAUGCCGCGUGUGUGAAGAAGGCCUUCGGGUUGUAAAGCACUUUUGUCCGGAAAGAAAUCCUUGGCUCUAAUACAGUCGGGGGAUGACGGUACCGGAAGAAUAAGCACCGGCUAACUACGUGCCAGCAGCCGCGGUAAUACGUAGGGUGCAAGCGUUAAUCGGAAUUACUGGGCGUAAAGCGUGCGCAGGCGGUUUGCUAAGACCGAUGUGAAAUCCCCGGGCUCAACCUGGGAACUGCAUUGGUGACUGGCAGGCUAGAGUAUGGCAGAGGGGGGUAGAAUUCCACGUNUAGCAGUGAAAUGCGUAGAGAUGUGGAGGAAUACCGAUGGCGAAGGCAGCCCCCUGGGCCAAUACUGACGCUCAUGCACGAAAAGCGUGGGGGAGCAAACAGGAUUAGAUACCCUGGUAGUCCACGCCCUAAAACGAUGUCAACUAGUUGUUGGGGGAUUCAUUUCCUUAGUAACGUAGCUAACGCGUGAAGUUGACCGCCUGGGGAGUACGGUCGCAAGAUUAAAACUCAAAUGAAUU